rnacentral:ribozyme from 14 species
UUGUCUUUAAAUGUGUUCUUUACAUUUUGCGCUUCGCUUUCACAUCUGCCCCCAUGUGAAGAUUCUAGAAUCAGAGAAAGGGAGGCAAGAAAAAGCGCUGUUGUUGUAUAGAAACGCAUGUUUGGAUGUCAGUUUUGUGUUUUUUUG